ensembl:lncRNA
CCAAGCAGUAUGAUUAUUUCAUUUAUUCACUAUUCCAUUUAUUAUUAAUGUCUCAUUUCAGUUUAACUUUGGCUUAAGUUUUGUAUUUAUUGCAGUUUAUAUGAAAAGGUUCAUGUAGCGUGGUACAGCCUACUGCAGAAAUUAAUAAGCAAAUGUAAAACGAAAUAUAGCCUGCUGUCACUUUAAGAGCCGCACGGAUCCAAAUCACUGUUACACGCGUAUUUUCAUUCUCAACUCUUUGCAUUCAUUUAUUAUAUGACCGACGAAGUUUGUGUCUACAGCAGCUACUGUAUAUACACCCCAAAGGCUCUUUUAAGAGCCACAUCACGAGAGCGUCUUUGGCUUUGCUAUUUUCAGAGCCACAUCGCCCAGCAUCCUUGGCUUUCACCUACAUACACCCCAAGGCUCUUUUCAGAGCCACUCGCCCAGCAUCACACAGCAUUGUGAACUACCUACGGUCAAUCGGGGGUUCGAAUCCAGGAGCAGCUGUUUAAGGUGGCAACCAAUGAGGUCCUGGGUGCAUACAACCUUCGGGGGAAGAAAUCAAAACUAGCCUUCCAAGACCUCAGGAUUUGUUCCAUUAUUAUAGGAGCAACACAGAAGACUUUUAAAUCACUGAAGUCAGUUGAGGUGGAGGAUCUGAUUUCACUGGCCCUGAAAAUGAUCACUAUUGCACACCAAAUAGUCAUGAUGAGGCAGCGAGGAGCCUGGACAGAUAUCUCAAUAAAGAUUGUGACAUCACUGACAUCCAGUCUGAGGAGGAGAGCCACCAUGCCCUGAAAAGAAAAAGAAGACCGAAUCCAGUUUAUCACUCAGACGAGGAGCCCCAGAAUGAGUGCAGAUUCACCCAAGCCCCAAAAGUGUUAUUUCCAGCAGCGACCCAACUAGCCAGUCAGAACAGCCAACCAUCACCACCUCCACGAAUCUAUCAGACCCUCCAACGCCCCAAUUCCCCCAUGUUGUCUUACCCCAAUGUCCCAGCAUCGUUCCCUGGAGAUGAAUUGGUGUUCUCUCCAAUUAAUUUACUCCAGAGGCCAUCUCCUGAAGUUGUUUCAGAUUCUUCAGAAACUGCCAGGUUGGCAUUAAAAGAUGUGGCUAUGCAAAAACUUCUUACUGCAGUGACAGAGCUGUCCAAGGAGGUGAAGGACCUGCGGGAGGAGUUUAGGCAAUUCCGCCAGUCCUGCAGGUGUGGACAAUCGGAGUCUGUGGUACAGCCACUGUCGGAGCCCUUGGAGCUGCCCUUCCACACCAUGGAGGCCCUGGCCCAUGCAGAAGAGACACUGUUAAAUGGCACAAACCGACAGGCAAUGACUGCUCGUCUCGCCACCAUUGGAGGGACUACCCUAGAGGUGAGGGUCCGCCGUAUGAUGGCACACCUGUUGUCGAAUGAACUGGCUCCAAGACUGAACUGGGCUGGAAAAAAGAACAAGGAGCCUACUAAACAAAAACGUCCCUUUAAAGAGUUGGCACUCUGCCGAUCUUUGUUUGGUGCAGAGCGGACAACGCAUCACGACACCGUCACAGCAGAUGACCUACUAACCCGGAACAACACUUCUUCUUCUUCUUCUUCUUCUUCUUCCUUGAUGUUUAACGGCGGUUGGCAUCCAACUUCAAUGGUGCAUUACCGCCACCUACUGUACUGGAGUGUGAACCGGAGCUAGACAAAGAGAAACUAAAACUAAAAUGGAGACUUCCAACUCUCUUCCCCCACCCUUUAAUUAAUAAUUAAAAAAAAUAAAAAUAAAUUUAGAUUUCCAAAAUUGUCUUCUAUAUUCUAUUUGCUAUCCCUGUGUCCUUAAGGAAGGUAAAUAAAUGAGUACUGAUAUCAUUUGAAGUUAAUCCCAGAAGUUCCUUAAGUGAAUUCCCUUGCACCCCCAAAUUCCUUAUGCUUUCUUUCAUCUUUAUCCUUUCUCGAUCAUAUUUUUGGCAUUCAAGUACCACAUGUUCAACAUAUUCAAUACUGUCACAAAAUUCACAUCUUCCUGUUACAUGCUUACCUAAAAUAUGUAAGCACUUAUUUAACCCACAAUGUCCAAUCCUUAACCUAGUGAAAAUUAUUUCUUCCCUUCGACUCCUUCCAGUGAUCCUCUCUGUCCCAACCUUCUGUUGUAUUCUGUAUAAAUGUCUC